GGGGCAAUGGUCUAGGGGUAUGAUGCUUCCUUCGCAAGGUUAACUACGUUGAUCUGCACAACGUGUGAUUGGAAGAGGUCCGGGGUUCAAUUCCCCGUUGCUCCA